rnacentral:lncRNA from 1 species
GUACACCUUCAUAUACACCCCUUAUGUGGCAUGGGUAUUUUAGAAAUUUCACACAACUUUCUCUUUCCCACCCUCUUCUCUCUCUUAGAUCUCCCUUUCUUCUCCCUCUCACUCUGCCGCCUCUAACUCACCGGCCUCCACCACCGCCGCACCCUUUUGUUCCAUACCCCCAAAUACAUCCUCGUGUGGCCUUUCAUCUUCUCUCUUCUCUCUCUGCAACAUAGAUCCACUGACUGCACAUCCAUGCUCCUUCACCACUACCAUUGCUGCUCCCGUCGCACCUGCGCCCCAUCCUCCUUCAUCUUGUUUCCCAUCUCCGACGACACAAACCUCUUCUUCUCUGCAACAUAGCCGCAACCAUCGAGAUAUGCAACACAGCCUCUUCUUCUAUUCUUCCUCUCCACCACCGUUUAGAUCUAAAACCCAGGAGAUUGUUGUGGUUCACGGCAACAAUAGUGGCAUCUGGUGAGACGGUGACGAUGACCGUGGUCGGUGGCAAUGAGAGAUAGACAUAACGGUGGAGGGAGAACGGUGACAUCCAAUUUGAAAAUUCAAUAUUUUUUAUUUUUUUUGUUGGGCUGGCACUCUUUAUGGAAUAUUUUAUAUAUAUUUUGACAUAUGGAAGGGUGUGUGAGGGAGGUAUGCCACGUGAGGGUGUGU